rnacentral:rRNA from 1 species
UGAAUACGAGAUGCUACGGCGUCGAAGCAGUCUAUGUCAUACUUCCAAGAAAAGCUUGCACUGUCAUAACAAAUAAUGCCUGUACCAUAACCGACACAGGUGGGUAGGUAGAGUAUACUAAGGGGCGCGAGAUAACUCUCUCUAAGGAACUCGGCAAAAUGACUCCGUAACUUCGGGAGAAGGAGUGCCUUAUUUAUAAGGUUGCAAUAACUAGACCCAAGCAACUGUUUAUCAAAAACACAGGUCUCCGCUAAGUCGUAAGACGAUGUAUGGGGGCUGACGCCUGCCCAGUGCCAGAAGGUUAAAGAAGUUGGUUAGCAUUAGCGAAGCUGAUGACUGAAGCCCUGGUGAACGGCGGCCGUAACGAUAACGGUCCUAAGGUAGCGAAAUUCCUUGUCGGGUAAGUUCCGACCCGCACGAAAGGCGUAAUGAUUUGGGUACUGUCUCAGAGAGGGACUCGGUGAAAUAGACUUGUCUGUGAAGAUGCGGACUACCUGCACCUGGACAGAAAGACCCUAUGAAGCUUUACUGUAACCUGAAAUUGAAAUUGGACUUUAUUUGCGCAGUAUAGGUGGGAGGCUUUGAAGAUAUUCUUGCGGGAAUGUUGGAGCCAUCAGUGAGAUACCACUCUUGUAAUGUUAGAUUUCUAACUUUGUAUCAUUAUCUGGUCAAAGAACAGUUUCAGGCGGGCAGUUUGACUGGGGCGGUCGCCUCCUAAACGGUAACGGAGGCGCACAAAGGUUUCCUCUGAACGGGUAGAAAUCGUAUCUAGAGUGUAAAGGCAUAAGGAAGCUUGACUGUGAGACCUACAAGUCGAGCAGGGACGAAAGUCGGUCUUAGUGAUCUGACGGUGCUGAGUGGAAAGGCCGUCACUCAACGGAUAAAAGUUACUCUAGGAUAACAGGCUGAUCUCCCCCAAGAGUUCACAUCGACGGGGAGGUUUGGCACCUCGAUGUCGGCUCAUCGCAUCCUGGGGCGGUAGUACGUCCCAAGGGUUGGGCUGUUCGCCCAUGAAAGCGGUACGCGAGCUGGGUUCAGAACGUCGUGAGACAGUUCGGUCCAUAUCCGGUGUAGGCGUUAGAAUAUUGGGAGGAGCCUUCUCUAGUACGAGAGGACCGAGAAGGACACACCUCUGGUGUACCAGUUAUCGUGCCAACGGUAAACGCUGGGUAGCUAUGUGUGGAGCGGAUAACCGCUGAAAGCAUCUAAGUGGGAAGCCCACCUCAAGAUAAGUAUUCUCAUC